AUUGAACGCUGGCGGCAGGCCUAACACAUGCAAGUCGAACGGUAACAGGAAGCAGCUUGCUGCUUUGCUGACGAGUGGCGGACGGGUGAGUAAUGUCUGGGAAACUGCCUGAUGGAGGGGGAUAACUACUGGAAACGGUAGCUAAUACCGCAUAACGUCGCAAGACCAAAGAGGGGGACCUUCGGGCCUCUUGCCAUCGGAUGUGCCCAGAUGGGAUUAGCUAGUAGGUGGGGUAACGGCUCACCUAGGCGACGAUCCCUAGCUGGUCUGAGAGGAUGACCAGCCACACUGGAACUGAGACACGGUCCAGACUCCUACGGGAGGCAGCAGUGGGGAAUAUUGCACAAUGGGCGCAAGCCUGAUGCAGCCAUGCCGCGUGUAUGAAGAAGGCCUUCGGGUUGUAAAGUACUUUCAGCGGGGAGGAAGGCGAUAAGGUUAAUAACCUUGUUCGAUUGACGUUACCCGCAGAAGAAGCACCGCUAACUCC
rnacentral:rRNA from 1 species